GAUGAACGCUGGCGGCGUGCCUAAUACAUGCAAGUCGAGCGAACAGACGAGGAGCUUGCUCCUCUGACGUUAGCGGCGGACGUGUGAGUAACACGUGGAUAACCUACCUAUAAGACUGGGAUAACUUCGGGAAACAGGAGCUAAUACCGGAUAAUAUAUUGAACCGCAUGGUUCAAUAGUGAAAUUCGGCUUUCCCGUCACUUAUAGAUGAUUCCGCGCCGCAUUAGCUAGUUGGUAAGGUAACGGCUUACCAAGGCAACGAUGCGUAGCCGACCUGAGAGGGUGAUCGGCCACACUGGAACUGAGACACGGUCCAGACUCCUACGGGAGGCAGCAGUGGGGAAUCUUCCGCAAUGGGCGAAAGCUUGACGGAGCAACGCCGCGUGAGUGAUGAAGGUCUUCGGAUCGUAAAACUCUGUUAUUAGGGAAGAAAAAAUGUGUAAGUAACUAUGCACGUCUUGACGGUACCUAAACAGAAAGCCACGGCUAACUACGUG
rnacentral:rRNA from 1 species